AGAUCCAUUUUCUGCCACCGAAUACAUUAGCAUGGGAUAAUGGAAUAGGACCCUGUCCUCCUAUUUUCAGUUGGUUUUGGCAGCGCGAGGACUAGGGUAAUGAUUAAUAGGGAUAGUUGGGGGCAUUAAUAUUUAAUUGUCAGAGGUGAAAUUCUUGGAUUUAUGAAAGAUUAACUUCUGCGAAAGCAUCUGCCAAGGAUGUUUUCAUUAAUCAAGAACGAAAGUUAGGGGAUCGAAGACGAUCAGAUACCGUCGUAGUCUUAACCAUAAACGAUGCCGACCAGCGAUUAGGAGACGUUGAAUACAAAACACCACCAUCGGUUGCGGUCGUCCUUGGCGUCUCGGUUUCGGCCGGGGCGCGGGGAUGGCUUAGCCCGGUGGCACCGGUGAAUGACUCCCCUAGCAGCUUGUGAGA
rnacentral:rRNA from 1 species